GACGAACGUUGGCGGCGUGCUUAAUACAUGCCAGUCAACUGAAGCAGUGGUAGCAAUAUCGCUGUGGAGGUGGCGCACGGGUGAGUAACACGUAGGUAAUCUGCCUUCAGGUCUGGCAUAACUCCGGGAAACCGGGGCUAAUAGCAGAUGAUGCAGCGGCUCGACAUCGAGACAGUUGUUAAAGCUAUGGCGCCUGAAGAUGAGCCUGCGUCUGAUUAGCUAGUUGGCGGGGUAACGGCCCACCAAGGCAACGAUCAGUAGCUGGUCUGAGAGGAUGAUCAGCCACACUGGAACUGAGACACGGUCCAGACUCCUACGGGAGGCAGCAGUAAGGAAUAUUGCUCAAUGGGAGAAAUACUGAAGCAGCAACGCCGCGUGAGGGACGAAGGGCUUUUGCUUGUAAACCUCUGUAGUGAGAGAAAAAAAUCCCAAUCUUUGGGACAUGAUGGUAUCUCAAAAGUAAGCCCCGGCUAACUACGUG
rnacentral:rRNA from 1 species